rnacentral:rRNA from 1 species
UACGUAGGGAGCGAGCGUUGUCCGGAUUCAUUGGGCGUAAAGAGCUCGUAGGCGGCUUGAUAAGUCGGAUGUGAAACCUCCAGGCUCAACCUGGAGUCGCCAUCCGAUACUGUCAUGGCUAGAGUCCGGUAGGGGCCCACGGAACUCCUGGUGUAGCGGUGAAAUGCGCAGAUAUCAGGAAGAACACCGGUGGCGAAGGCGGUGGGCUGGGCCGGCACUGACGCUGGAGGAGCGAAAAGCGUGGGGAGCGAACAGG